UGCCAGCGGUCCGGCCGGGAACUCAAAGGAGACUGCCAGUGAUAAACUGGAGGAAGGUGGGGAUGACGUCAAGUCAUCAUGGCCCUUACGACCAGGGCUACACACGUGCUACAAUGGCGCAUACAAAGAGAAGCGACCUCGCGAGAGCAAGCGGACCUCAUAAAGUGCGUCGUAGUCCGGAUUGGAGUCUGCAACUCGACUCCAUGAAGUCGGAAUCGCUAGUAAUCGUGGAUCAGAAUGCCACGGUGAAUACGUUCCCGGGCCUUGUACACACCGCCCGUCACACCAUGGGAGUGGGUUGCAAAAGAAGUAGGUAGCUUAACCUUCGGGAGGGCGCUUACCACUUUGUGAUUCAUGACUGGGGUGAAGUCGUAACAAGGUAACCGUAGGGGAACCUGCGGUUGGAUCAC
rnacentral:rRNA from 1 species